GAUGAACGCUGGCGGCGUGCCUAAUACAUGCAAGUCGAGCGAACAGACCAGGAGCUUGCUCCUCUGACGUUAGCGGCGGACGGGUGAGUCACACGUGGAUAACCUACCUAUAAGACUGGGAUAACUUCGGGAAACCGGAGCUAAUACCGGAUAAUAUAUUGAACCGCAUUGUUCACUAGUGAAAGUCGGUUUUUCUGUCACUUAUAGAUGGAUCCGCGCCGCAUUAGCUAGUUGGUAAGGUAACGGCUUACCAAGGCGGCGAGGCGUAGCCGACCUGAGAGGGUGAUCGGCCACCUGGGAACUGAGACACGGUCCAGACUCCUACGGGAGGAAGCAGUAGGGAAUCUUCCGCAAUGGGGGAGAGCCUGACGGAGCAACGCCGCGUGAGUGAUGAAGGUCUUCGGAUCGUAAAACUCUGUUAUUAGUGGAGAACAAAUGUGUAAGUAACUAUGCACGUAUUGACGGUACCUAGUCAAAAAGCCACGGCUAACUACGUG
rnacentral:rRNA from 1 species